UCUUUCUCAUCAUCUUUAUCAUCUUCAGUUUGUCCAUGGGUGCUUUCUUCAAUGGCUUCCAAGUGAGCAGCUCUUUCUGCACAUCAAACAGGUUGAAGUUCAAUUAAUUAUUUUUACGAUAACUCUCGAUAUAAAUAUAAUUGUAAGUUGCAACUUACUGCUCUUUGAUCUACCCCCAGAUGGAGUAGUAGGAACCGACAGUGAUGCAGUGGAAACAGCAAUGUCGGAAGCAAGACGAGUCAUCUCGACGGACCUAUCGAAAUUCACCGGGGGAUUCUCAACUUUGAUCCUAAAAGCAAUCAAAGCAUCCAUUUGUUUGUUCAAAAC
rnacentral:lncRNA from 1 species